GUGGGGAAUAUUGCACAAUGGGCGCAAGCCUGAUGCAGCAACGCCGCGUGAGGGAUGACGGCCUUCGGGUUGUAAACCUCUUUUAGUAGGGAAGAAGCGUAAGUGACGGUACCUGCAGAAAAAGCACCGGCUAACUACGUGCCAGCAGCCGCGGUAAUACGUAGGGUACAAGCGUUGUCCGGAAUUAUUGGGCGUAAAGAGCUCGUAGGCGGCUUGUCGCGUCUGCCGUGAAAACCCAGGGCUCAACUCUGGGCGUGCGGUGGGUACGGGCAGGCUAGAGUGCGGUAGGGGAGAUUGGAAUUCCUGGUGUAGCGGUGGAAUGCGCAGAUAUCAGGAGGAACACCGAUGGCGAAGGCAGAUCUCUGGGCCGUAACUGACGCUGAGGAGCGAAAGCAUGGGGAGCGAACAGGAUUAGAAACCCGAGUAGUCC
rnacentral:rRNA from 1 species